AUGCAAUAGUGUAAUUGUUAGCUUGGAUUCCACUUCCUCCUCCCCUAUGAAAGUCACCUUCCUGCUAGAGGAAACUCCUUUGGAAAAAUGUAUAAACAAAUUUUUAGCAUAUGGCCUCAUUAUAACACUCCAUCCUUUCUUUCUUCCUUGCCAGCAUCCACCUAGGCCAGGCAAGCUUUCUGCUUCCUGCCCAGAGUGGGGCCCAUUUUGUUGAGCUGUCUCUUGGGACAGAUGGUUUGUGGAAUGCGUGAGGGAGGAGGCAGAGUGCACCUGCAUGAGGAAGCCCCCCAUGACAGACGACAGGGAGGGAGCGAGACAAACUAGGCCAAGCAGGCCCCAGUAGAGCUCUGGUUCAUUAUUUCCCAACCACAGCUUGGCCAGACAGCUCAGCCUGCUUCCCCCAGGAACUUUCAGGGCUAGUCAUUGCCAGAUGUGAGGUGAGCUGGCAGGAGUGGGGACACAGGGGAGUCAGGGCCCAGCCUGUCCGGAACCUGCUGGUCUGACUCGAGUGGCUGUCUGGCCCCAAAGAGGAAGACAAUAAUUUCCUUGCCUCCUCAAAUGAGGUAGAGGAAGGUUAGUCUGUGGGCCUUUCAAGGAAAAAAGCACUUUGGCCUAGAACAGCCAGAGCCAUGGGUAUUUCGUUGCAGUUGUAAAUUGCCACCAGCCUUUCCUCAAUCCUGGUAGCCACUCAAAUUAAGCUAUGCCCUUGUAACCUCUAGGUCAUGUUCUUCCAGAGGGGAAAGGGAGUGUCUGCAGUGCAAUCCAGGGAUACUUGGAUGCAAGAAGCAGCUUUUGGACAUUUUUCUCCUAGAGAGCUUAGUAAGACAUGAUCAGCCCAGAUUACAGCUGCCCUCAUGUAACUGGGUUAAAGUGGUGGCCUACUUAGGCCCCUCCUGCGGUGGCCUCCUUCAAAGCUGAUGAGGCCGAUUAGGGGGUUAUUUCUGAGCUCUAGUUGUAUACCCAGAAGCCUGGGGGCAGUCUUCCCCUGACUAGAAAGACAACAACUAAGGCUGGACAGCCAAGAGCACAGUGUGCCCUGCCCAUCAGAGAACAUUGCCAUCAGACCUCAUCCUUAUAAAAGCAAUAGCCAAAUCAUGUCAAGGUGGAUACCCAGAUUUUGAAAUUCAAAGCCAAGCCAACCAAUGAGACUCAGUCCUACACAUUACUAUUUCCAGCCCUAGGCAGAGAUGGUGGAUUGUCAAAAUUAAGUCUUCCAUGAUGGUCACUAAUCUUCCACUUGGUAGAUUCUGUGCACUCAAGGGAGAUGUUACCUAACCUUUCUGAGUGUCCAUUUACUUAUCUAUAAUGGGGCAGUAACAAUAGUAUAUACUUCCUAGUGCUGUUGUAAGGAUUGAAUAGAUAAAAUACAGAACACAGUUGGUACAGUGCCUGGCAACACAUUGUAAGCACUGCUUCUAUGUUAGACACCACCACUACCAUCACCACCACCACUGUCACCAGCAUCGUCCUCAUCAAGACAAAGAGUGGAUGGUAAAGUGCUCAUUCUCUGAAGCCCAACAAACUUGGUUUGAAACCUUAUUUUGCCACUUUGUAGCUAGGUGACCAUGAAUAAGUGACAAUUUCUUUAAACUGCAUUCUUAUUCAUGAGGCUAUUGAAAAAUAUAUAGCACAUGGUUCUUAGCUCAUAGUAAGCACUCAAUAAAUGUUGGUUGUCAUAGUUAUUAAAAGGGGAUGAUCAAGGUGAAUCAGUGGUUUCCAGGUGUUGGGGGAGGAAGGUAUUAACAGGCUAAACACAGGAUAUUUUUUUUUUUUUUUGGUUCUAGGGGUUGAACUCAGGGGUACAUACCACUGAGCCACAUCCCCAGCCCUUUUUAUGUUUUAUUUAGAGACAGGGUCUCACUGAGUUGCUUAGGGCCUCAUUAAGUUGCUGAGGUUGGCUUUGAACUCACAAUCCUCCUGUCUCAGCCUCCUGAGCUGCUGGGAUUACAGGCAUGCGCCACCGUGCCUGGCUAACACAGGAACUUUACGGCAAUGAAAACAUUCUGUAUGAGGACUGGGGUUGUGGCUCAGAGGUAGAGCGCUCGCCUACCAUGUGUGAGGCAUUGGGUUCGAUCCUCAGCACCACAUAAAAAUAUUUUAAAAAAGAUAUUGUGUCUACCUAUAAAAAAUACAUUCUGUAUGAUUCUAUAAUGGUUACUACUUUUCAUAAUACACUUGUCAAAACUCAUAGAAUGUGUGAUACCAAGAGUAACCCCUAAUGUAAACUAUGGAUUUGGAUGAUCAUGGUGUGUCAAUCAAGAAUGUGAAAAAGACAAACUACACAAAUAGAACAGAUUUGCAAAUCAUAUAUCUAAUGAUAGUUAAAUAUGACAAAUUCUUAGAACUCAACAGCAAAAAGACAAUUAAAAACUAGACAGGCAAGGCCUCAUAUUUAAAGCAACAAGCAUUCAACAAACAGCUACUGAACUAUGUAACUGAUACAGCUGUGGUCACUCCACUUACGAAUCUAAAGUCUAAAUGAAUAUAAAGCACACACAUAAAUUAUUUUUCAAAAUGAGUAUACUCUCAGUAAGUUGGUCAUGAUUUCAUAAUGAAACAAUUUCUACUUUAGUGUAAAUAUGGAAAUAAAGUUAUUCCUGUUAAUGAAAGAUUGGGGCAAAGAACUUGAGUAGACAUUUCUCUGAAUAAGAUACUCAAAUGACCAGUAAGCACAUGGAAAAGAGACCAACACCUCUAGUCAUUAGGGAGAUGCCAAUGAAAACCAUAAUGUGUUUGUCAGCUUCCUGUUACUGUACUGAACUCCUGAGAUAAUCGCUUUAUAAGGAGGUAGUGGUUAUUUUGGCUCACAGUUUUGGAGGUUUCGGUCCAUGGUCGAUUGGCUUGUUUCUUGUGGGACUGUGGUGAGGCAGCACAUCACGGUGGCAGUGAGUGGUGGAGGAAGAGGCUUACCUUAUGGCAGCUGGGAAGCAAAGGCAGAGGAAAGGGACUAGGUCCAAUAUCGCCUUUCAGCAACUGGACUUCCUUGCAUUAUGUCCCACCCUUCAAAGUUCCACCACCUCCCUAUAGCGUCACAGGAUGGGAACCAAGCCUUUAACACAUGGGCUUUUGGAGGACACUUAUCCAAACUGUAAAAAUUAUAUAAUGACUUCACAUCUACCAAGAUGACAUUAAUUUUUUUCUUUUAACUUUUUUUUAUAAUUUUUUAAAUUUGUUUUACUUAGUUACACAUGACAGUACAAUGAUCUUGACAUAUCAUACUUUUGAAUCAGAUGGGAUAUAAUUUCUCAUUUUUCUGAGUGCACAGGUUGCAGAAUCACAUUGGUCAAGCAGGAUAAUGUUAUUUCUUUUUUUUUUUUUUUUUAGCGAGCGAGAGAGAAUUUUUUAAUAUUUAUUUCUUAGUUUUUGGUGGACACAACAUCUUUAUUUUUAUGUGGUGCUGAGGAUCCAACCCAGUGCCCCGCACAUGCCAGGCGAGCGCGCUACCGCUUGAGCCACAUCCCCAGCCCCAGUUAAUUUUUAAAAAAGGAAAUAAUGGUGAAGGUAAGUAAUAGGAUGUCAUAUACAUGACUGGUGAAAAUGCAAAUGAUGGAGCCAUGAUGGAAUGUAGUUUGGUGGUUCCUCAAAAAGUUAAACAUAGAAGAACCACAUGACUUAGUAAUUUCACUCCAAAGUAUGUACUCAAGAGAAAUGAAAGCAUGUGCUCACACAGAAAUUUAUACAUGACAGUUUAUGGCAGCAGUGUUCCUAAUGGCCAAAAGGUAAAAACAAGCCAAGUGUUCAUUAUGGUGAACCAUAGUGUACAUGAAGUAUUAUUCAGCCAUAAAAAGGCACAUAGAACUAAAAUAUGCUACAACUUAGACAGACAAUGAAAACAUUACACUAAGUGAAAGAAGUUGCAUACAAAGGUCAUACAUUCUGUAACUCCACACACACACACAAACAUACAUACACACACACACACACACACACAGAGAAUAGGCAAAUUCAGAGAGAUGGAAGAUUGGAGGUUAAUUUUUAGAGGUUGAGAGUGAGGGUUGGAGAGUGGCAUUUCUUCCUGGAUAUGGAAUGUUGUUUUUUUUUUUUUUAUGGAAUGUUUUUAUGGAGUCAUUGAUAUGGUUUGAAAAA
rnacentral:lncRNA from 1 species